CACGUAGGGUGCGAGCGUUGUCCGGAAUUAUUGGGCGUAAAGAGCUCGUAGGCGGUGUGUCGCGUCGGCCGUGAAAACCUGCAGCUUAACUGUGGGCUUGCGGUCGAUACGAGCAUCACUGGAGUUCGGCAGGGGAGACUGGAAUUCCUGGUGUAGCGGUGAAAUGCGCAGAUAUCAGGAGGAACACCGGUGGCGAAGGCGGGUCUCUGGGCCGAUACUGACGCUGAGGAGCGAAAGCGUGGGGAGCGAACAGG
rnacentral:rRNA from 1 species